rnacentral:rRNA from 1 species
CCUACGGGAGGCAGCAGUGAGGAAUAUUGGUCAAUGGACGAGAGUCUGAACCAGCCAAGUAGCGUGAAGGAUGACUGCCCUAUGGGUUGUAAACUUCUUUUAUAUGGGAAUAAAAUGUUCCACGUGUGGGAUUUUGUAUGUACCAUAUGAAUAAGGAUCGGCUAACUCCGUGCCAGCAGCCGCGGUAAUACGGAGGAUCCGAGCGUUAUCCGGAUUUAUUGGGUUUAAAGGGGGCGUAGGUGGAUUGUUAAGUCAGUUGUGAAAGUUUGCGGCUCAACCGUAAAAUUGCAGUUGAAACUGGCAGUCUUGAGUACAGUAGAGGUGUGCGGAAUUCGUGGUGUAGCGGUGAAAUGCUUAGAUAUCACGAAGAACUCCGAUUGCGAGGGCAGCUCACUGGACUGCAACUGACACUGAGGCUCGAAAGUGUGGGGAUCAAACAGGAUUAGAUACCCCUGUAGUC